rnacentral:rRNA from 1 species
UACGGGGGGAGCAAGCGUUGUUCGGAUUUACUGGGCGUAAAGGGCGCGUAGGCGGCCACCGCAAGUCGACUGUGAAAUCUCCGGGCUUAACCCGGAAAGGUCAGCCGAUACUGCGGGGCUAGAGUGCAGAAGGGGCAACUGGAAUUCUCGGUGUAGCGGUGAAAUGCGUAGAUAUCGAGAGGAACACCUGCGGCGAAGGCGGGUUGCUGGGCUGACACUGACGCUGAGGCGCGAAAGCUAGGGGAGCGAGCGGG